AGCAGUGUGGCUUAGUGGAUAAAACACAGGCCUGGGAGCCAGAGGACUUGGGUUCUAAUCCCAGCUCUGCUA
rnacentral:tRNA from 1 species